rnacentral:tmRNA from 1 species
GGGGGUGAUCCGGUUUCGACGGGACGUUGUGGAGACCAGAUUGCGCGCCGAGGAUGUCGGUUGGCCUCGUUAAUCAUCCGGCAAAAACAUAAUCGCGAACAACGAUUACGCUCUCGCGGCCUAAUUAUGGCCCCGAUGUCGCCCGGCGGACGCCUGCUAUUCCGGCGCGGCAUAAUUCAGCAGGACUUGGCCUGAAGCGCUCCGUUCGCGCGUCAGGUUCACGUACAACCGAACGGAUGGAGAGGGAUAAGCCCGUGUGUCGGCAUACCCUUUCCGAGACUAAAGGCGCACUACGCGCGUAGAUGUUUGGCCAAAGCCGUUUCGGACGCGGGUUCGACUCCCGCCACCUCCACCA